CGCGGGGUGGAGCAGUCUGGUAGCUCGUCGGGCUCAUAACCCGAAGAUCGUAGGUUCAAAUCCUGCCCCCGCAA
rnacentral:tRNA from 1 species